UACGAGUACCCCAAGCGUUGUCCGGAAUUACUGGGCGUAAAGCGUCUGUAGGGCGUUUGAUACGUCUUCUGUUAAAUUUCGAUGCUCAACAUCGAAACUGCAGGGGAAACGGUCAGACUAGAGAGUGUGAGAGGCCAAUAGAACUUAAGGAGUAGGGGUGAAAUCCGUUGAUACCUUAGGGAAUACCAAAGGCGAAGGCAUUUGGCUGGUGCAUUUCUGACCCUGAGAGACGAAAGCGUGGGGAG
rnacentral:rRNA from 1 species